rnacentral:rRNA from 1 species
GACGAACGCUGGCGGCGUGCCUAAUACAUGCAAGUCGAACGCUGAAGGAGGAGCUUGCUUCUCUGGAUGAGUUGCGAACGGGUGAGUAACGCGUAGGUAACCUGCCUGGUAGCGGGGGAUAACUAUUGGAAACGAUAGCUAAUACCGCAUAAUAGUAGAUGUCGCAUGACAUUUGCUUAAAAGGUGCAAUUGCAUCACUACCAGAUGGACCUGCGUUGUAUUAGCUAGUUGGUGAGGUAACGGCUCACCAAGGCAACGAUACAUAGCCGACCUGAGAGGGUGAUCGGCCACACUGGGACUGAGACACGGCCCAGACUCCUACGGGAGGCAGCAGUAGGGAAUCUUCGGCAAUGGACGGAAGUCUGACCGAGCAGCGCCGCGGGAGUGAAGAAGGUUGUCGGAUCGUAAAGCUCUGUUGUAAGAGAAGAACGAGUGUGAGAGUGGAAAGUUCACACUGUGACGGUAUCUUACCAGAAAGGGACGGCUAACUACGUG